AACGAACGCUGGCGGCAGGCCUAACACAUGCAAGUCGAGCGCCCCGCAAGGGGAGCGGCAGACGGGUGAGUAACGCGUGGGAAUCUACCUAAUGGUACGGAAUAGCCCAGGGAAACUUGGAGUAAUACCGUAUACGCCCGCAAGGGGAAAGAUUUAUCGCCAUUAGAUGAGCCCGCGUUGGAUUAGCUAGUUGGUGGGGUAACGGCCCACCAAGGCGACGAUCCAUAGCUGGUCUGAGAGGAUGAUCAGCCACACUGGGACUGAGACACGGCCCAGACUCCUACGGGAGGCAGCAGUGGGGAAUAUUGGACAAUGGGCGCAAGCCUGAUCCAGCCAUGCCGCGUGAGUGACGAAGGUCUUCGGAUUGUAAAGCUCUUUUGGCGGGGACGAUAAUGACGGUACCCGCAGAAUAAGCCCCGGCUAACUUCGUGCCAGCAGCCGCGGUAAGGCGUAUGUGU
rnacentral:rRNA from 1 species